rnacentral:rRNA from 1 species
GAGGUGGAAGCACAGUAAUGUGUGGAGCUGACCAAUACUAAUCGGUCGAGGGCUUAUCCUA